GAUUAACGCUGGCGGCGUGCAUAACACAUGCAAGUCGAACGAUGAAACUUUAAUGAACCCUUCGGGGAGAAUUAAAGCGGAUUAGUGGCGAACGGGUGAGUAACGCGUGAGUAACCUGCCUUACACAAGGGGAUAGCCUUUGGAAACGAAGAAUAAUACCCUAUAAAACCAUCAAAGCACAUGCAAUUAUGGUCAAAGUGAUAGCGGUGUAAGAUGGACUUGCGUCUGAUUAGCUAGUUGGUGAGAUAAAAGCCCACCAAGGCAACGAUCAGUAGCCGGCUUGAGAGAGUGUACGGCCACAUUGGGACUGAGACACGGCCCAGACUCCUACGGGAGGCAGCAGUGGGGAAUUUUGCACAAUGGGGGAAACCCUGAUGCAGCGACGCCGCGUGAUUUAGAAGGCCUUCGGGUUGUAAAAAUCUUUUGUAUAGGAAGAAAAUGACAGUACUAUACGAAUAAGGUCCGGCUAAGUACGUG
rnacentral:rRNA from 1 species